GUCGAGAAUCUUUCACAAUGGGAGCAACCCUGAUGGAGCGACGCCGCGUGGAGGAUAAGGUCUUCGGAUUGUAAACUCCUGUCAUGCGUGAACAAGGUUGCUUGGAUAAUACCUGAGCAAAUUGAUGGUAGCGCAAGAGGAAGAGACGGCUAACUCUGUGCCAGCAGCCGCGGUAAUACAGAGGUCUCAAGCGUUGUUCGGAAUCACUGGGCGUAAAGGGUGCGUAGGUGGCGUGGCAAGUCAGAUGUGAAAGCCCGGGGCUCAACCUCGGAACUGCAUCCGAUACUGCCAUGCUAGAGUACUGGAGGGGUGACUAGAAUUCUCGGUGUAGCAGUGAAAUGCGUAGAUAUCGAGAGGAAUACCAAAGGCGUAGGCAGGUCACUGGACAGUUACUGACACUGAGGCACGAAGGCCAGGGGAGCGAACGGGAUUAGAAACCCCAGUAGUCC
rnacentral:rRNA from 1 species